rnacentral:rRNA from 1 species
UACGUAGGGGGCAAGCGUUAUCCGGAAUCAUUGGGCGUAAAGCGCGUGUAGGCGGUUCCGUAAGUCCGCUCUGAAAGCCCAGGGCUCAACCCUGGGAGGCGGGUGGAUACUACGGAACUGGAGUACGGAAGAGGAGAUUGGAAUUCCUGGUGUAGCGGUGAAAUGCGCAGAUAUCAGGAGGAACACCGGUGGCGAAGGCGGUUCUCUGGGCAUUACCUGACGCUGAGGAGCGAAAGUGUGGGGAGCGAACAGG